GCACCGCUAGUCUAAUGGCUAGGAUAUCUGCCUUCCAAGCAGAUGGUCCGGGUUCGAUUCCCGGGCGGUGCA
rfam:Perkinsus marinus ATCC 50983 gcontig_1104296667972, whole genome shotgun sequence.